rnacentral:rRNA from 1 species
GGACCCGACCGCUAUUGGGAUGGGAUUAAGCCAUGCAAGUCGCGCGUCCCUAGCUAUGAUGGGAAGCGGUGAAAAGCUCCGUAACGUGUAGUUAACCUACCCUCAGGACGGGAAUACCUUCGGGAAACUGAAGAUAAUUCCCGAUAGUUGAUUAGGCCUGGAAUGGUUUUUCAUCCAAAGGUAUCGUCUCAUGCGAUGAUAUCGCCCGAGGAUGGGACUGCAUCUGAUUAGCUUGUUGGUGGGGUAACGGCCCACUAAGGCGAUAAUCAGUACGGGCUGUGAGAGCAGUAGCCCGGAGAUGGAUACUGAGACAACGAUCCAGGCGCUACGGCGCGCAGCAGGCGCGAAACCUCCGCAAUACACGCAAGUGUGGCGGGGCCAUCCCAAGUGCCAUCCGAUAAGGGUGGCUUUUGCCCAGUGUAAGUAGCUGGGAGAAUAAGGGGAGGGCAAGGCUGGUGCCAGCCGCCGCGGUAAAACCAGCUCCUCGAGUAGUCGGGAGUAUUAUUGGGUCUAAAGCGUCCGUAGCCGGCCCUGUAAGUUCCUGGUCAAAUCCAGCGGCCUAACCGUUGGUUCGCUGGGGAUACUGCAGAGCUUGGGNANCNAGAGAGGCCAAGGGUACUUAUGGGGUAGGGGUGAAAUCCUGUAAUCCCAUAGGGACCACCGGUGGCGAAGGCGCUUGGCUGGAACGUGUCCGACGGUGAGGGACGAAAGCCAGGGGAGCGAACCGGAUUAGAUACCCGGGUAGUCCUGGCUGUAAACGAUGCGGGCUAGGUGUUUGCGUGGCU